AGAGUUUGAUCCUGGCUCAGAUUGAACGCUGGCGGCAGGCUUAACACAUGCAAGUCGAGCGGAAACGAUGAAAAGCUUGCUUUUCAGGCGUCGAGCGGCGGACGGGUGAGUAAUGCUUGGGAAUAUGCCUUAUGGUGGGGGACAACAGUUGGAAACGACUGCUAAUACCGCAUAACGUCUACGGACCAAAGGGGGGGAUCUUCGGACCUCUCGCCAUUUGAUUAGCCCAAGUGAGAUUAGCUAGUUGGUGAGGUAAAGGCUCACCAAGGCGACGAUCUCUAGCUGGUUUGAGAGGAUGAUCAGCCACACUGGGACUGAGACACGGCCCAGACUCCUACGGGAGGCAGCAGUGGGGAAUAUUGCACAAUGGGGGAAACCCUGAUGCAGCCAUGCCGCGUGUGUGAAGAAGGCCUUCGGGUCAUAAAGCACUUUCAGUUGUGAGGAAAGGGGUGUAGUUAAUAACUGCAUUCUGUGACGUUAACAACAGAAGAAGCACCGGCUAACUUCGUGCCAGCAGCCGCGGUAAU
rnacentral:rRNA from 1 species